GUGGGGAAUUUUGGACAAUGGGCGCAAGCCUGAUCCAGCAAUGCCGCGUGCAGGAAGAAGGCCUUCGGGUUGUAAACUGCUUUUGUACGGAACGAAACGGUCCGGGUUAAUACCCUGGGCUAAUGACGGUACCGUAAGAAUAAGCACCGGCUAACUACGUGCCAGCAGCCGCGGUAAUACGUAGGGUGCAAGCGUUAAUCGGAAUUACUGGGCGUAAAGCGUGCGCAGGCGGUUUUGUAAGACAGGCGUGAAAUCCCCGGGCUCAACCUGGGAAUUGCGCUUGGGACUGCAAGGCUGGAGUGCGGCAGAGGGGGAUGGAAGUCCGCGUGUAGCAGUGAAAUGCGUAGAUAUGCGGAGGAACACCGAUGGCGAAGGCAAUCCCCUGGGCCUGCACUGACGCUCAUGCACGAAAGCGUGGGGAGCAAACAGGAUUAGAAACCCUAGUAGUCC
rnacentral:rRNA from 1 species